rnacentral:rRNA from 1 species
GUUAUAGGGUCAAGCGAACAAGUGCAUGUGGUGGAUGCCUUGGCGAUCACAGGCGAUGAAGGACGCGGUAGCCUGCGAAAAGCUACGGGGAGCUGGCAAACAAGCUUUGAUCCGUAGAUGUCCGAAUGGGGAAACCCACUCCGUAUGGAGUAUCCAUGGCUGAAUACAUAGGCCAUGCGAAGCGAACGCGGUGAACUGAAACAUCUAAGUAACCGCAGGAAAAGAAAUCAACCGAGAUUCCCAAAGUAGUGGCGAGCGAAAUGGGAUGAGCCUUGUACUCUUUAUUUGUAUUGUUAGCCGAACGCUCUGGAAAGUGCGGCCAUAGCAGGUGAUAGCCCUGUAGGCGAAAACAGUAUGAAAGAACUAGGUGUGCGACAAGUAGGGCGGGACACGUGAAAUCCUGUCUGAAGAUGGGGGGACCAUCCUCCAAGGCUAAAUACUCGUGAUCGACCGAUAGUGAACCAGUACCGUGAGGGAAAGGCGAAAAGAACCCCGGGAGGGGAGUGAAAUAGAUCCUGAAACCGCAUGCAUACAAACAGUCGGAGCCUCGCAAGGGGUGACGGCGUACCUUUUGUAUAAUGGGUCAGCGACUUACGUUCAGUAGCAAGCUUAACCGUAUAGGGCAGGCGUAGCGAAAGCGAGUCCGAAUAGGGCGUUCAGUUGCUGGGCGUAGACCCGAAACCAGGUGAUCUAUCCAUGGCCAGGAUGAAGGUGCGGUAACACGUACUGGAGGUCCGAACCCACUAACGUUGAAAAGUUAGGGGAUGAGCUGUGGAUAGGGGUGAAAGGCUAAACAAACCUGGAAAUAGCUGGUUCUCUCCGAAAACUAUUUAGGUAGUGCCUCGUGUCUCACCUUCGGGGGUAGAGCACUGUCAUGGUUGGGGGGUCUAUUGCAGAUUACCCCGCCAUAGCAAACUCCGAAUACCGAAGAGUGCAAUCACGGGAGACAGACAUCGGGUGCUAACGUCCGGUGUCAAGAGGGAAACAACCCAGACCGCCAGCUAAGGUCCCCAAAUAUGGCUAAGUGGGAAACGAAGUGGGAAGGCUAAAACAGUCAGGAGGUUGGCUUAGAAGCAGCCACCCUUUAAAGAAAGCGUAAUAGCUCACUGAUCGAGUCGUCCUGCGCGGAAGAUGUAACGGGGCUAAGCCAUAUACCGAAGCUGCGGAUGCG